CCUACGGGAGGCAGCAGUGGGGAAUAUUGGGCAAUGGGCGCAAGCCUGACCCAGCAACGCCGCGUGAAGGAAGAAGGCUCUCGGGUUGUAAACUUCUUUUUUCAGGGACGAAGCAAGUGACGGUACCUGAUGAAUAAGCCACGGCUAACUACGUGCAAGCAGACACGGUAAUACGAAGGUUGCAAGCGUUAUGCGGAUUUACUGGGUGUAAAGGGCGUGUAGGCGGGAAAGCAAGUCAGAUGUGAAAACUAUGGGCUUAACCUGUGGAUUGCAUUUGAAACUGUUUUUCUUGAGUACUGGAGAGGCAGGCGGAAUUCGUGGUGUAGCGGUGAAAUGCGUAGAUAUUAGGAGGAACACCAGUGGCGAAGGCAGUCUGCUGGACAGCAACUGACGCUGAGGCGCGAAAGCGUGGGGAGCAAACAGGAUUAGAUACCCGGGUAGUC
rnacentral:rRNA from 1 species